rnacentral:rRNA from 1 species
AUAACGUCGCAAGACCAAAGAGGGGGACCUUCGGGCCUCUUGCCAUCGGAUGUGCCCAGAUGGGAUUAGCUAGUAGGUGGGGUAAAGGCUCACCUAGGCGACGAUCCCUAGCUGGUCUGAGAGGAUGACCAGCCACACUGGAACUGAGACACGGUCCAGACUCCUACGGGAGGCAGCAGUGGGGAAUAUUGCACAAUGGGCGCAAGCCUGAUGCAGCCAUGCCGCGUGUAUGAAGAAGGCCUUCGGGUUGUAAAGUACUUUCAGCGGGGAGGAAGGGAGUAAAGUUAAUACCUUUGCUCAUUGACGUUACCCGCAGAAGAAGCACCGGCUAACUCCGUGCCAGCAGCCGCGGUAAUACGGAGGGUGCAAGCGUUAAUCGGAAUUACUGGGCGUAAAGCGCACGCAGGCGGUUUGUUAAGUCAGAUGUGAAAUCCCCGGGCUCAACCUGGGAACUGCAUCUGAUACUGGCAAGCUUGAGUCUCGUAGAGGGGGGUAGAAUUCCAGGUGUAGCGGUGAAAUGC